rnacentral:rRNA from 1 species
ACCCCUACGGGAGGCUGCAGUCGAGGAUCUUCGGCAAUGGGCGCAAGCCUGACCGAGCGACGCCGCGUGUGCGAUGAAGGCCUUCGGGUUGUAAAGCACUGUCGAGGGGGAGAAAGCCGAAAGGUUGAUCUAUCCCUGGAGGAAGCACGGGCUAAGUUCGUGCCAGCAGCCGCGGUAAGACGAACCGUGCGAACGUUGUUCGGAAUCACUGGGCUUAAAGGGCGCGUAGGCGGGCUGCAAAGUCCGGGGUGAAAUCCUCCAGCUCAACUGGAGAACGGCCUCGGAUACUUGCGGUCUCGAGGGAGGUAGGGGCGUGCGGAACUAUGGGUGGAGCGGUGAAAUGCGUUGAUAUCCAUAGGAACUCCGGUGGCGAAGGCGGCACGCUGGACCUUUUCUGACGCUGAGGCGCGAAAGCCAGGGGAGCAAACGGGAUUAGAUACCCCAGUAGUCGU